rnacentral:tRNA from 2 species
GCCUGAGUGGCGGAAUAGGUAGACGCGUUGGUCUCAAACACCAAUGAGGUAAAACUCGUAUCGGUUCGAUUCCGAUCUCAGGUA